rnacentral:lncRNA from 1 species
CCUGCCAGAUGGCCACAGCUCACUGGGAGGCACCGGGCGAUGGAGGCUAGCUGCGUGCCCUGGACGGGAGGAAGUGGGUUGCUGAGCCCUGGGCAGCUCCCCACCCGCAGCUCACAGCGCCCACUUUAGACUGGAAGCCAGGAAGGCCGGCGGCAGACCAUGCUCUUCCCCACCCUCGGGAGACCGUCAGCUCACUCCAAGAUAAUUUGCUGUCGCCAGAGAAGCCAGUGAGCAGACCCCUGCUCUAGCAAGAACCUGAUCAGACACUGCCAAC